GGUUAUCGCACCUUUGUGAGAAUGAGUUGGGUCACUUCGAGUUGCUGUCGUCUUUAGCUUCAGGAGUCGGAGGUUUAUUUUUGUACCAGAAUCGAAGCCUCCGUUUGGAGUAGGUUCUUAUUUAUCGCUUUAUUUAUUUAUUUCCCGCGUCGCUUUUAUUUUAUUUAUUUCCCGCGUCGCUUUUAUUUUAUUUAUUUUCCGCAUCG
rnacentral:lncRNA from 1 species